AUGUCUGGCCAAUGGUUCGUCGAGAAUUGGACAUGUCAUAUAGUGAAGAUGGCUGGCCAAUGUCAUAUGUUGAAUGGAUGCCAUAUGACAUCUGCAAGUCCGCAACUCUCUUACUCUCUUCUUCCUCUCUCUUUCUUCAUCCUUUUAUCAACAACACACAGAGAAAGGAGCAACAACAAGAUAACAACAGAGGAAGGAAAAGAUCUACGUGGAAGACAUGAAAAGGGGAAUGAAUUUGAUGGCAGAAUCUAA